rnacentral:rRNA from 1 species
UGAACGCUAGCGACAGGCCUAACACAUGCAAGUCGAGGGCGAGCACAAGGAGCAAUCUGAGGUGGCGACCGGCGCACGGGUGAGUAACACGUAUGCAACCUGCCUGUAAGCGGGGAAUAACCCGUUGAAAGACGGACUAAUACCGCAUAAUACUAAAUUACUGCAUGGUAAUUUAUUUAAACAUUUAUGGCUUACAGAUGGGCAUGCGCAUGAUUAGCUAGUUGGAGAGGUAACGGCUCCCCAAGGCAACGAUCAUUAGGGGUUCUGAGAGGAAGGUCCCCCACACUGGUACUGAGACACGGACCAGACUCCUACGGGAGGCAGCAGUGAGGAAUAUUGGUCAAUGGACGAGAGUCUGAACCAGCCAAGUCGCGUGCAGGAAGAAUGUCCCUAUGGAUUGUAAACUGCUUUUGCAGGGGAAUAAAGUGCAUCACGUGUGAUGUUUUGUAUGUACUCUGCGAAUAAGGAUCGGCUAACUCCGUGCCAGCCGCUGC